UCUUCCGUAGUAUAGUGGUCAGUAUAUGAGCUUGUCAUACGACUCCGCUCGGGACCCGGGUUCAAUUCCCGGCGGGAGAG